rnacentral:rRNA from 1 species
CCUACGGGGGGCAGCAGUGGGGAAUAUUGCACAAUGGGGGAAACCCUGAUGCAGCGACGCCGCGUGAGUGAAGAAGUAAUUCGUUACGUAAAGCUCUAUCAGCAGGGAAGAAAAACUGACCUUACGGUCAGCAGACGGUACCUGAGUAAGAAGCCCCGGCUAACUACGUGCCAGCAGCCGCGGUAAUACGUAGGGGGCAAGCGUUAUCCGGAUUUACUGGGUGGAAAGGGAGCGUAGACGGUGCGCCAAGUCUGGAGUGAAAUGCCGCAGGUUAACUGCGGAACUGCUUUGGAAACUGGCGAACUAGAGUGCGGGAGGGGUAAGCGGAAUUCGUGGUGUAGCGGUGAAAUGCGUAGAUAUUAGGAGGAACACCGGUGGCGAAGGCGGCUUACUGGACCGUAACUGACGUUGAGGCUCGAAAGCGUGGGGAGCAAACAGGAUUAGAUACCCUGGUAGUC